rnacentral:tRNA from 1 species
GGGGUUGUGGCUCAGUGGUAGAGUACUCGCCUAGCAUGUGCGAGGCAUAAGGUUUGAUCCUUAGCACCA